GCGGAGCACAAGUUAAAGUCAUACCUGUCCAACAGUGGCCUUGACCCCACAAUUCGUCCGGUCAACAACAGCAAUGAGAAUGUCACUGUUUACAUCGAUGUCUCUCUCAACUACGUCGUUGAUAUGGACGAAAAGCAGCAAGUUUUACGGACUGAAAUUUCAGUGAGGCUGAAAUGGAAAGAUUAUCACGUAACAUGGGACCCGUCAGAGUUCGGAAAUCUCAGUGUUAUUCAUGUCAGUCCUGGACGAAUAUGGAUGCCCGAUAUCGCCAUUUAUAACAAUAUCGGACUGGAGGGCGGACGCGAUCCAAUGGACUAUCUGAUGGC